rnacentral:tRNA from 1 species
GCGAGCAUGGUCUAGUGGCUAUGACGUUCGCCUCACACGCGAAAGAUCCCGAGUUCGAUCCUCGGUGCUCGUAUUUUAAAUAA